rnacentral:rRNA from 1 species
GGGUGCGAUCAUAUCAGCACUAAUGUAGUGGAUCCCAUCAGAACUGCGCAGUUAAGCGUGCUUGGGCGAGAGUAGUACUGGGAUGGGUGACUUCCUGGGAAGUCCUCGUGUUGCACCCC